GACGAACGCUGGCGGCGUGCUUAACACAUGCAAGUCGAACGGAAAGGCCCUGCUUUUGUGGGGUGCUCGAGUGGCGAACGGGUGAGUAACACGUGAGUAACCUGCCCUUGACUUUGGGAUAACUUCAGGAAACUGGGGCUAAUACCGGAUAGGAGCUCCUGCUGCAUGGUGGGGGUUGGAAAGUUUCGGCGGUUGGGGAUGGACUCGCGGCUUAUCCGCUUGUUGGUGGGGUAGUGGCUUACCAAGGCUUUGACGGGUAGCCGGCCUGAGAGGGUGACCGGCCACAUUGGGACUGAGAUACGGCCCAGACUCCUACGGGAGGCAGCAGUGGGGAAUAUUGCGCAAUGGGCGGAAGCCUGAUGCAGCAACGCCGCGUGCGGGAUGACGGCCUUCGGGUUGUAAACCGCUUUCGCCUGUGACGAAGCGUGAGUGACGGUAAUGGGUAAAGAAGCACCGGCUAACUACGUG
rnacentral:rRNA from 1 species